CUCCCAUAAGACUGUGACUCUGUACAACAAUUUUGUGUUUGAUCCUUGUGUAGGAACAGUCCUUUUGAACGACAGCAUCUUUAGCAGACGAUUUAAUGCAGCGAUUUUUUAAAGCAAAGAAACUAACUGAAAUGAUGUUGAGGUAUGAUGCUGUGCUGUCAGAGCUGCCAUGGAAAUUGCUGGCGCCUAGGGGGACAGGUCUUAAUGAGUCCUGAUGAGAGAUGGUUGUACCAAGUCCACAGCUGAAGAUCCUUUCCUGAAG
rnacentral:lncRNA from 1 species